rnacentral:rRNA from 1 species
UACGUAGGGUGCAAGCGUUGUCCGGAAUUAUUGGGCGUAAAGAGCUCGUAGGCGGUUCGUCGCGUCGGCUGUGAAAACCCGGAGCUCAACUCCGGGCCUGCAGUCGAUACGGGCGGACUAGAGUUCGGCAGGGGAGACUGGAAUUCCUGGUGUAGCGGUGAAAUGCGCAGAUAUCAGGAGGAACACCGGUGGCGAAGGCGGGUCUCUGGGAAGUAACUGACGCUGAGAAGCGAAAGCGUGGGUAGCGAACAGG